UGGGGAAUAUUGCGCAAUGGGGGAAACCCUGACGCAGCGACGCCGCGUGAGCGAUGAAGGCCUUAGGGUUGUAAAGCUCUGUUUUAGGGGACGAAUGUCCAUGUGAGUAAUAUGCGCGUGGAAUGACGGUACCCUAAGAGGAAGCCCCGGCUAACUACGUGCCAGCAGCCGCGGUAAGACGUAGGGGGCGAGCGUUGUCCGGAAUUACUGGGCGUAAAGAGCACGUAGGCGGGAACUUAAGUCAGAUGUGAAAGACCGGGGCUCAACUCCGGGAUUGCAUUUGAAACUGGGUUUCUUGAGGGCAGGAGAGGAAAGCAGAAUUCCUGGUGUAGCGGUGAAAUGCGUAGAAAUCAGGAGGAAUACCAGUGGCGAAGGCGGCUUUCUGGACUGACCCUGACGCUGAGGUGCGAAAGCGUGGGUAGCAAACAGG
rnacentral:rRNA from 1 species